CGCACGCGCCGGAAGCCGGACGCGCGCGAUGCCGGACGGGCAGGCGGACGCCGACGCACGUGGAGCAGCUGGCGACGGAUGGGACGCGCCUUCAAAGCAGAGCAGGUGGGCAGCUGAGGCGACGCCGGUCCGGCGGCACCAAGGCCGGUCGGCGCGCGGAGGACCGGCGGCCAAAGCCCCGUCGACCGACCCCCUCGCCUAUAAAUAGGCCGGUGCAACCUCCGUCGACGGACACGAAAUAGCAAGCUCAGAAACCUUCCCCGGAGAGACUCUAGGGGAAGAUCGAAGAGCGAGCGAGAGAGAGAACGGGUCGCCAGCUCAAACGACCUCCCUCCGAGAGACAUCGGGGGAGGCCGGCGGUGAGCGAGCCCGAGAGGGAGAGACGCCGAGCAGGAGAAGCCAAGGCCAGAGGGAGUGACCAAGGUUAGAUAUUUGAGCAUGAGAAUGGUCAAUCUGCAUCGUUCGUGCGCCCAAUCACCAACUGCAAAACAUAGCUUCCAGGAGCACAGUCUCAAGAAGGCCAGAUACUUGCCAUACGUCUACACUGGAAAUGACACGCCCAACACUGCUUGUGGUAAUAGUUGCAUCGUCAACGUCUGCCAUUGUCUCAAGUGCAACUUCAACCUUAACCCUGACUGCUUUCACCUACCACGAGCUAUAAAAAGUUAGACAUCACAUCAAUCGUUAACCCUCUGUAAGUCCUCUGGGGUGAUGGUUCAGGCGAACUAACGCGACAUUUUGAAAAUGAAAGAAGAACCUGGACUUGGGGGGUUUGCUAUUGUGGAGGAUCCCAAUUAGUUGCUCAUGUCAAUUUGCUAUAGCUCCGAUAUGCCACAUCAAUAUUGCUAUAUUUUUCAAAGGCAACCUUGGUUGAACUGUGAACAUGAGGUUCUGAUAAAUGAACUAUAAGGAGAAGUUGAAAGCAAUAACCUACUGCAAAAAAGUUCAAAUCUAGAGAGAGAGAGAGGGAGAGAGAGAGAUUAGGUUCUUUGUAUGAACAACUUCAGUUCAAUGAAUGAAUCUUUUCAGUGCACCAAUGUAGCUAACACAAUCUUGACGUCAUCUUCAACAAAAAGGUUGAAAGCUUAUGCACAAGAAACUUUCUAGGAGUCAUUUUCUUACUUUAGGAAAUAAUGGAAAAUUAUUAACAAAAAAACCUAGCCACCUUUUCUUUUCAGGUGAAACUAAAGCUGAUGGGAUGUUACAAGCGGAUUUGACGGCGAAGGGGGAAAAACUGGAGUCAUUGGAGAGACAAUUUGCAGCAAUUGCAUUGAAAAGCUGAGGAGAUUAUGAACACUUCAAACUGAUUAACAAGUGCAGCCCAAUUAGAGUGAUGAGAGUUUGGCACAGUUGCCCGACAGGCAGUUUUAACUCUGAUUGAACAUCUAAUGUUGAACAGCCUUCUGUUUUCUGGAGAUGACACUUACUUUCGUUUCUCUAAGCUUGAGAUUGGGAGAAGUGCUUCUGUUGUACGACACUUAGAGACCUGAAAUGGGCUGAAGCUGAGAGAUGCGCUUCCACACUCCAUUAUCACAAAUUGGCGAGAAGACAAGAGUUCCAGGAACUUGGAGAAAUUUCACAUGAGAUUGUCCUUCAUACUGUCUAGCACUGAAUCCUCCUCUAAACUCAUGCCAUACUGAAACUAGUACACUUUUAAAUCCAGAAUACUAACCAUUUGAAUGCAGACACUUCAUUGUCACAAUUCACUUAUUUGGAUAGUUAUGAAGAUUGUACAACUUAAUUUACACUCUGAUACUAACAGAGAAUUAUGGUGUCACCUUCUCUGGUAGUUCAAGUGCCCUAUACAGUAUGUGAAAAGAGUUGCUAGAACAAUGGGAAAGGCAGCGAGGAC